CAGAAACUACAAAGGAAUUGACGGGGGCCCGCGACAAGCGGUGGAGUAUGUGGUUAAUUCGAUGCAACGCGAAGAACCUUACCUGGUCUUGACAUCCCGGAGACCCUUAGGAAACUAGGGGGUGCUUCCAUCUGGAAGAAUCUGGAGACAGGUGCUGCAUGGCUGUCGUCAGCUCGUGUCGUGAGAUGUUGGGUUAAGUCCCGCAACGAGCGCAACCCUUGCCUUUAGUUGCCGGCAGUUCGGCUGGGCACUCUAAAGGGACUGCCGGUGUUAAACCGGAGGAAGGUGGGGAUGACGUCAAGUCCUCAUGGCCUUUAUGACCAGGGCUACACACGUACUACAAUGGCCGAUACAAAGGGCAGCGACACUGCGAGGUGAAGCCAAUCCCGUAAAAUCGGUCUCAGUCCGGAUUGGAGUCUGCAACUCGACUCCAUGAAGUUGGAAUCGCUAGUAAUCGUGGAUCAGCAUGCCACGGUGAAUACGUUCCCGGGCCUU
rnacentral:rRNA from 1 species